UACGAAGGGGGCUAGCGUUGCCCGGAAUUACUGGGCGUAAAGGGCGCGUAGGCGGAUAGUUUAGUCAGAGGUGAAAGCCCAGGGCUCAACCUUGGAAUUGCCUUUGAUACUGGCUAUCUUGAGUUCGGGAGAGGUGAGUGGAAUGCCGAGUGUAGAGGUGAAAUUCGUAGAUAUUCGGCGGAACACCAGUGGCGAAGGCGACUCACUGGCCCGAUACUGACGCUGAGGCGACGAAAGCGUGGGGAGCAAACAGG
rnacentral:rRNA from 1 species